rnacentral:rRNA from 1 species
AUGUUUAAUCAUUUUGAUAUGACCUCUAAUCUUGGUGGUGGUUCAUCAAUGUUGGGAUGGUUUAAUGAUAAGCAUUGUCAAUCCUUUGAUAUGAAUAAGAGCGUCACUUAUAUGGGCAAACUAAGUUGCAAUAUUUUCAUGCCUUUGACUUGUUGUGAUAAUAUAUUGGCUUCAUAUUUUAUGAUUUUUCAAAGGUGCUCUUGUAUAAUUAUGUCACAUGUGCCACAAUUGAGAUCAGUAAAAAUUGAUGACAUAUACAUAUACAAUGUGUACACUUUGUCUCUUUUGUUAGCCACAUUUCGGAUUAACCAGCGCUGA